AUUGGCUUUCUGCACCUGACGAGAACCACUAGGCUUAUUCCGAAGCCCGAAAUAUAUGGGCUUUCCUGACUCCAAGUGGCAGCCCUGGGGCGAGCAUGUGAUGUCAAGCUGGGCCGUGGAAAGCAGAGCUGUGCACCAGCCUGUGUCUUAAGAAUGCAUCAGAUUCCCUGGAACUGGCGCUCCAGAGGGUUAUGAGGUACCAUGUGGGUGCUGGGAACCAAGCCUAGGUCCUCUACAAUAGCA
rnacentral:lncRNA from 1 species